GCUGCCUACUCACUCCUCUCGCCACGCCCCCUCCGUGCAACUGCCUUGGGGCCCCGGUCACGCCCCCCCACGCGUCACAAUGAAACAAGUCCGCCCUUGCUUCAAUGCCAUUGGUCUGUGCCUGGCCGGUCUUGCAGCAGGUUCCACCCUCUUGCGGGCGAGCUCUGCCUACCAUUGGACUGUCCGGCACGAGGGGACGGGUGAUCUAUAAAUAGGGAAUGGGUCCACGUGACAGUUUGGCAGCUGCUCCUACCCCUUCACCCCGCCCAGCCUUCAGCUUCUGAGGCUGCGCAGGGGGAGAAAAGGGUUAGAGGGUCGAGCCCUGACUUCGCCUCCUCUUCCAAGAAGCCUUCCCAGACACUCAGCUGUAAAACGAAACGCAGACCUUGGCUCCCUAAAAGCCAAGACCCAGAAGCUCAUAUGAGAAAUUCCCUCUUUUAUGAUUCCCCGUGCACGAAGUGACCUUCUGGUGGUGAGAUGGAGAGAAAAUGAUAGUGCCGAUAGACAGCCAAGUCUCCUGGAGCCAGACUUCCUCAGGUCUUUCAAGGCCAAGGUUAAGCUUAAGAGGUCACCUCUGACCACCCACCCUCUGACCCUUGAGAGCUCAUUCUAGGCUGCCCAGGCCUCCCAAACUCCACCAGCCCUGCCCUGCCCUUCCCAUUCUGGGUCAUCACUGUCUAGGGACAGGGAACGUGCCGCUGAGGCUGACGUACAUGAUCACGCCCACCGACCACAUGUCCAGCGAGCGGUUGUAGCCCUGGUUGAGCAGCACCUCGGGCGCCAGGUAGGCCGGCGUGCCCACCACGGAGCGGCGGAACGACUUCUCCCCGAUGAUGCGCGCAAAGCCAAAGUCACACAGCUUCACCUGCAGAGGGCGAGGGGUGGAGGGUCUAGCGGGUGAUGGAGCCGCACCUGCCCCAGCAUCCCCACUGCACCACCCUCCUUGAUAUUCCAGAGAAAGCUGAAUACUGGUUUGAAUCCAAGGCACCUCGGCUCACUAGCUAGAGCACCCUGGGCAAGUGACUUCUCUGCUCCGUGCCUCAGUUUCCCCAUUUAUAGGAAGGAGAUGAGCAGAAAAGUGCCUAUCUCUGAGGACUGCCAUGAUGGUGAGUUAAACCAUCCAAAGCUCAUAGGACAGUAUUUGGCAUGCAGUUGAUGCACAAUAAAUGCUAGCUGCUGCUAUACCUCUGCCACCUCCAGUGGGUCUCUCAACCUCCUUAUGCCUGUUUCCUCUUUUGAACAACACAGAUUUUUUUUUUUAAUAGCCU